rnacentral:rRNA from 1 species
ACUCCUACGGAAGGCAGCAGUGAGGAAUAUUGCGCAAUGGGGGCAACCCUGACGCAGCGACGCCGCGUGAGUGAGGAAGGCCUUCGGGUCGUAAAGCUCUGUCAAAGGGAAAGAAGUGCAUGGUGGCUAAUACCUGCCAUGUUUGACGGUACCCUUAAAGGAAGCACCGGCUAACUCCGUGCCAGCAGCCGCGGUAAU